rnacentral:rRNA from 1 species
GCUCAAAUUUGAAAUCUGGCCCCUUUGGGGUCCGAGUUGUAAUUUGUAGAGGGUGUUUCGGGCGCGAUGCCGGUCUAAGUUCCUUGGAACAGGACGUCGCAGAGGGUGAGAAUCCCGUACGCGACCGGCGAUCAAGCCUGUGUGAAGCCCCUUCGACGAGUCGAGUUGUUUGGGAAUGCAGCUCAAAAUGGGUGGUAAAUUUCAUCUAAAGCUAAAUAUUGGCCAGAGACCGAUAGCGGACAAGUAGAGUGAUCGAAAGAUGAAAAGCACUUUGGAAAGAGAGUCAAACAGUACGUGAAAUUGUUGAAAGGGAAGCGCUUGCAAUCAGACCGGUCCGGAGGCGAUCAGCCGCUGCUCGUUCAGCGGUGCACUCGCCUGCGAUCCGGCCAGCAUCGGUUUGGGCGGUGGGAUAAAAGUCCCGGGAAUGUAGCUUCUCUUGGGGAGUCUUAUAGCCCGGGUCGCAAUGCCGCCCGCCCGGACCGAGGACCGCGCUUCGGCUAGGAUGCUGGCGUAAUGGUUGCAAGCGACCCGUC